CGCGAACCAUCGAGUCUUUGAACGCAAGUUGCGCCCGAGGCCACUCGGCCGAGGGCACGCCUGCCUGGGCGUCA
rnacentral:rRNA from 1 species